UACGUAGGUCCCGAGCGUUGUCCGGAUUUACUGGGUGUAAAGGGCGUGUAGCCGGGCUGACAAGUCAGAUGUGAAAUCCGGGGGCUCAACCCCCGAACUGCAUUUGAAACUGUUGGUCUUGAGUAUCGGAGAGGCAGGCGGAAUUCCUAGUGUAGCGGUGAAAUGCGUAGAUAUUAGGAGGAACACCAGUGGCGAAGGCGGCCUGCUGGACGGCAACUGACGGUGAGGCGCGAAAGCGUGGGGAGCAAACAGG
rnacentral:rRNA from 1 species